AAACCGAUGUACUAGGGGCUAGCUUACACAUGCAGUCGCAGGGUAACAUGAGGAAAGCUUGCUUUCCUUGAUGACGACUGGCGCACGGGUGAGUAACGCGUAUCCAACCUUCCCAUAACUACGGGAUAACCCGUUGAAAGACGGCCUAAUACCGUAUGAUAUCGUUUGCUGACAUCAAAUAACGAUUAAAGGUUUAGCGGUUAUGGAUGGGGAUGCGUCUGAUUAGCUUGUUGGCGGGGUAACGGCCCACCAAGGCUACGAUCAGUAGGGGUUCUGAGAGGAAGGUCCCCCACAUUGGAACUGAGACACGGUCCAAACUCCUACGGGAGGCAGCAGUGAGGAAUAUUGGUCAAUGGGCGAGAGCCUGAACCAGCCAAGUAGCGUGCAGGAAGACGGCCCUAUGGGUUGUAAACUGCUUUUAUGUGGGGAUAAAGUGCGCGACGUGUCAUGCAUUGCAGGUACCACAUGAAUAAGGACCGGCUAAUUCCGUGCCAGCACCCCCCGGUAAUA
rnacentral:rRNA from 1 species